CUCCAUUCAUUCUUUUAUUUAGCCCUAAUUUGCUCCACUCUUCAAAAUUGGUUCUACUUUCAUGCUUCUAUGUAACCACGAUGGACGGAGAGGGUGAGCAACGAAUGACGGGACCGUGAUAGAGGGUGAGCAGUCAGCAGUGAAUGAUGGUGAUGAUGUCGUUGCCUGUCAAUGGUGGUUCCGCCAUAGCGAUUAUUGAUUGGUUUUGCCCUCCAUCUCACCACCGCAUUUUUUGUAGAUUGUGAAAUUAAAGCCUUCUAUGUUUUUUUUUUGUUUUGCAGUUGCUUUUGAUAGUAGGGCUUGCAAUCCUUUUGAGAAACUUACGUGAUUGGAUUCUUCUUUAAUCGUCGUCAAGGACAAGGAACAAUAUAACGCAUGGGGAACAAUACCGGGCUAUAGAGAUAACUAUGUUAUGCCUUAAAAACAAGUGGGUGGUAUACCUGCUCUAAAAUGGUCUUAUGUAGAUUGAGAGAGACAAAAUUGUUCAUCACGUAAACUGUAAUUGGAGUUGACCACAUUCUUGAAUAACUGCCCCAAUAAUCCUUAAACUGGCAAUGCGGUUUGGUUCCAAGUAUGAAUAGAAGACGGUACUGGGUUGCAAGUAUGAAGACAUCGGUUCGGGACGCUAUUGUAUAUCACUUUCAUCAUCUAAAGAUAUAUAUGUAUUUAUGUUACUUUAAAACUCUUGUAAUCUUGUGUUACUUUGAAACCUUUGUAAUUUGUAUUCUUGUGUUAUAUUAUAUUGGUUCUAAUUUAA